rnacentral:rRNA from 1 species
AUUGAACGCUGGCGGCAUGCCUUACACAUGCAAGUCGAACGGUAACAGGUCUUCGGAUGCUGACGAGUGGCGAACGGGUGAGUAAUACAUCGGAACGUGCCCGAUCGUGGGGGAUAACGAAGCGAAAGCUUUGCUAAUACCGCAUAAGAUCUACGGAUGAAAGCAGGGGACCGCAAGGCCUUGCGCGAACGGAGCGGCCGAUGGCAGAUUAGGUAGUUGGUGGGAUAAAAGCUUACCAAGCCGACGAUCUGUAGCUGGUCUGAGAGGACGACCAGCCACACUGGGACUGAGACACGGCCCAGACUCCUACGGGAGGCAGCAGUGGGGAAUUUUGGACAAUGGGCGAAAGCCUGAUCCAGCCAUGCCGCGUGCAGGAUGAAGGCCUUCGGGUUGUAAACUGCUUUUGUACGGAACGAAAAGACUCUGGUUAAUACCUGGGGUCCAUGACGGUACCGUAAGAAUAAGCACCGGCUAACUACGUGCCAGCCGCCGCCGUAA